GUGAAGUCGGAAUCGCUAGUAAUCGUGGAUCAGAAUGCCACGGUGAAUACGUUCCCGGGCCUUGUACACACCGCCCGUCACACCAUGGGAGUGGGUUGCAAAAGAAGUAGGUAGCUUAACCUUCGGGAGGGCGCUUACCACUUUGUGAUUCAUGACUGGGGUGAAGUCGUAACAAGGUAACCGUAGGGGAACCUGCGGUUGGAUCACCUCCUUACCUGAAGAUAC
rnacentral:rRNA from 1 species